CCUACGGUGGGCAGCAGUGGGGGAUAUUGCACAAUGGGGGGAACCCUGAUGCAGCGACGCCGCGUGGGUGAAGAAGCUCCUCGGCGCGUAAAGCCCUUUCAGUAGGGAAGAAAAUGACGGUCCCUGAAGAAGAAGCCCCGGCUAACUACGUGCCAGCAGCCGCGGUAAUACGUAGGGGGCAAGCGUUAUCCGGAUUUACUGGGCGUAAAGGGGGCGCAGGCGGCGGUGCAAGACAGCAGUGAAAGCCUGGGGCCCAACCGCGGGACUGCUCGUGGAACUGCGUGGCUGGAGUGCAGGAGGGGCAGGCGGAAGUCCUGGUGUAGCGGUGAAAUGCGUAGAUAUCAGGAGGAACAC
rnacentral:rRNA from 1 species